GUGAGGAAUAUUGGACAAUGGGCGCAAGCCUGAUCCAGCCAUGCCGCGUGCAGGAAGACGCAUCUAUGGUGUGUAAACUGCUUUUGUACGGGAAGAAACACUCCCUCGUGAGGGAGCUUGACGGUACCGUAAGAAUAAGGAUCGGCUAACUCCGUGCCAGCAGCCGCGGUAAUACGGAGGAUCCAAGCGUUAUCCGGAAUCAUUGGGUUUAAAGGGUCCGUAGGCGGUUUAAUAAGUCAGUGGUGAAAGCCCAUCGCUCAACGAUGGAACGGCCAUUGAUACUGUUAGACUUGAAUUACAAGGAAGUAACUAGAAUAUGUAGUGUAGCGGUGAGAUGCUUAGAUAUUACAUGGAAUACCAAUUGCGAAGGCAGGUUACUACUUGUGGAUUGACGCUGAUGGACGAAAGCGUGGGGAGCGAACAGGAUUAGAUACCCCGGUAGUCC
rnacentral:rRNA from 1 species